GACGAACGCUGGCGGCGUGCCUAAUACAUGCCAGUUGAGCGAUGAAGAUUGGUGCUUGCACCAAUUUGAAGAGCAGCGAACGGGUGAGUAACGCGUGGGGAAUCUGCCUUUGAGCGGGGGACAACAUUUGGAAGCGAAUGCUAAUACCGCAUAAUAACUUUAAACAUAAGUUUUAAGUUUGAAAGAUGCAAUUGCAUCACUCAAAGAUGAUCCCGCGUUGUAUUAGCUAGUUGGUGAGGUAAAGGCUCACCAAGGCGAUGAUACAUAGCCGACCUGAGAGGGUGAUCGGCCACAUUGGGACUGAGACACGGCCCAAACUCCUACGGGAGGCAGCAGUAGGGAAUCUUCGGCAAUGGACGAAAGUCUGACCGAGCAACGCCGCGUGAGUGAAGAAGGUUUUCGGAUCGUAAAACUCUGUUGGUAGAGAAGAACGUUGGUGAGAGUGGAAAGCUCAUCAAGUGACGGUAACUACCCAGAAAGGGACGGCUAACUACGUG
rnacentral:rRNA from 1 species